CGGGUACUGCUCGGUGCGAGCCUCAGCAUUAUCCCUGAGCCGAUUAAUCAUCCAUGGGAGCUGUCCCUGGGCGGACCCUGGUUCGCCCUAAACGGCGCCCACCUGACGCUCGGGCGUCAGAGGAUAUUCCUGGCCAACGGCCAUAGCGGUCCCGUC
rnacentral:other from 1 species